GGUAAAAUGGCUGAGUUAAAGCAUUAGACUGUAAAUCUAAAGACGGGGAAUGUUCCCCUUUUGCCA
rnacentral:tRNA from 1 species